AGUGAACGCUGGCGGUAGGCCUAACACAUGCAAGUCGAACGGCAGCACAGUAAGAGCUUGCUCUUACGGGUGGCGAGUGGCGGACGGGUGAGGAAUACAUCGGAAUCUACUUUUUCGUGGGGGAUAACGUAGGGAAACUUACGCUAAUACCGCAUACGACCUACGGGUGAAAGCAGGGGAUCUUCGGACCUUGCGCGAUUGAAUGAGCCGAUGUCGGAUUAGCUAGUUCGCGGGGUAAAGGCCCACCAAGGCGACGAUCCGUAGCUGGUCUGAGAGGAUGAUCAGCCACACUGGAACUGAGACACGGUCCAGACUCCUACGGGAGGCAGCAGUGGGGAAUAUUGGACAAUGGGCGCAAGCCUGAUCCAGCCAUACCGUGUGGGUGAAGAAGGCCUUCGGGUUGUAAAGCCCUUUUGUUGGGAAAGAAAAGCAGCAGGUUAAUACCCCGCUGUUCUGACGGUACCCAAAGAAUAAGCACCGGCUAACUUCGUG
rnacentral:rRNA from 1 species